rnacentral:rRNA from 1 species
GACGAACGCUGGCGGCGUGCUUAACACAUGCAAGUCGAACGGAAAGGCCCUGCUUUUGUGGGGUGCUCGAGUGGCGAACGGGUGAGUAACACGUGAGUAACCUGCCCUUGACUUUGGGAUAACUUCAGGAAACUGGGGCUAAUACCGGAUAGGAGCUCCUGCUGCAUGGUGGGGGUUGGAAAGUUUCGGCGGUUGGGGAUGGACUCGCGGCUUAUCAGCUUGUUGGUGGGGUAGUGGCUUACCAAGGCUUUGACGGGUAGCCGGCCUGAGGGGGUGACCGGCCACAUUGGACUUGGGUACCGGCCAGGCCUCUUCCGGAGGGAGGAGGUGGGGAUAAUGGCCCAUGGGCCGGAGGCUUAUUGAGCAAACCCGGCUGCGGGGAUGCGGCCCUUCGGUUUGAAACCGCUUUCGCCUGUGACGAAGCGUGAGUGACGGUAAUGGGUAAAGAAGCACCGGCUAACUACGUG